GACGAACGCUGGCGGCGUGCUUAACACAUGCAAGUCGAACGAUGAACCAGGGCUUGCCCUGGGGAUUAGUGGCGAACGGGUGAGUAACACGUGGGCAACCUGCCCCAGACACCGGGAUAACCUCUCGAAAGAGUGGCUAAUACCGGAUACGACCACUUUGGGCAUCCAACGGUGGUGGAAAGGAUUCUGGUCUGGGAUGGGCCCGCGGCCUAUCAGCUUGUUGGUGGGGUAAUGCCUACCAAGGCGACGACGGGUAGCCGGCCUGAGAGGGCGACCGGCCACACUGGGACUGAGACACGGCCCAGACUCCUACGGGAGGCAGCAGUGGGGAAUAUUGCGCAAUGGGCGAAAGCCUGACGCAGCGACGCCGCGUGAGGGACGAAGGUCUUCGGAUUGUAAACCUCUUUCAGCAGGGACGAAGCGAAAGUGACUGUACCUGCAGAAGAAGCACCGGCUAACUACGUGCCAGCAGCCGCCGUAAGAC
rnacentral:rRNA from 1 species